rfam:Ornithorhynchus anatinus chromosome 5, whole genome shotgun sequence.
AGCAGCGUGGCUCAGUGGAAAGAGCCUGGGCUUGGGAGCUAGAGGUCAUGGGUUCUAAUCCCGACUCUGCCA